AUCCGCCGGACGAGCCCUAAAUAGGGCGAAAUGCGCAUCCUGGAU
rnacentral:hammerhead_ribozyme from 1 species